CCUACGGGAGGCAGCAGUGAGGAAUAUUGGUCAAUGGACGAGAGUCUGAACCAGCCAAGUAGCGUGAAGGAUGACUGCCCUAUGGGUUGUAAACUUCUUUUAUAUGGGAAUAAAAUGUUCCACGUGUGGGAUUUUGUAUGUACCAUAUGAAUAAGGAUCGGCUAACUCCGUGCCAGCAGCCGCGGUAAUACGGAGGAUCCGAGCGUUAUCCGGAUUUAUUGGGUUUAAAGGGAGCGUAGGUGGAUUGUUAAGUCAGUUGUGAAAGUUUGCGGCUCAACCGUAAAAUUGCAGUUGAAACUGGCAGUCUUGAGUACAGUAGAGGUGGGCGGAAUUCGUGGUGUAGCGGUGAAAUGCUUAGAUAUCACGAAGAACUCCGAUUGCGAAGGCAGUUCACUGGACUGCAACUGACACUGAGGCUCGAAAGUGUGGGUAUCAAACAGGAUUAGAUAACCCAGUAGUC
rnacentral:rRNA from 1 species